GGAGCCUCAGUUGUAAGCAAGACUUGGGAAUAGAAACAUCAACACAAUGGCUGGUCUGAAAAUCUUCACCUUUUGCUCAGCGCUACUGGUGACGCUCGCCGCAACCAACACGGUGGCCACACCUGUCCUGCCUGCAGGAGUUACCGCAGCAGAAUGCCCUAAUUUCCCAUUCUUUAAUUGCUCGCCUUUACUAAAAGCGGUUGUACCUGAAUCUCUUGCACCGGCACCUGCAGUUCCUUCUCCCAACGCUCCGCCCCAACAACCUGCCAACCCCGCCGGAGUCCGUUGCUUCAACUUCCCUUUCUUCCCGUGCAGUCCAUGAGAUUAAAUAAAUUUGGUUUUGAAUGUCAAUCUAAGUAGUGAUAUAUAAUUCACUGGGUAGUUUAUCUCACUUGCCUUAGGUUUUUUGUUCUUUUACGCUACUGGUAAAUGAAAGCUCUAGAGUCUAGAAUGAUCAUAUACAACUUACAAGCCUACUCAAGCUUACCUAGCUAGAACGUCUUCAAGUUGAAAGCAUCUUAGUACCUACCGAACCAAUCCUACCAACUGCUCCAACUGAAGGGCUAAAUUUUCAGCACAAUUAAGUAAAUAUAUCAUUAAUCCUAGGUUAC
rnacentral:lncRNA from 1 species